UAAAUACCCUGGCAGGGGAGACACCAUGAUCAAGAAGGUGGUUUUCCCAGGGCGAGGCUUAUCCAUUGCACUAUGGGUGUGCUGACCCCUGCGAUUUCCCCAAUGUGGUAAACUGCAUAAUUUGUGGUAGUGAGGACUGCGUUCCCGCUCUCCCCU
ensembl:snRNA U1 U1 spliceosomal RNA